CGCGUGAGGGAUGAAGGUUCUAUGGAUCGUAAACCUCUUUUAUAAGGGAAUAAAGUGUGGGACGUGUCCUAUUUUGUAUGUACCUUAUGAAUAAGGAUCGGCUAACUCCGUGCCAGCAGCCGCGGUAAUACGGAGGAUCCGAGCGUUAUCCGGAUUUAUUGGGUUUAAAGGGUGCGUAGGCGGCCUUUUAAGUCAGCGGUGAAAGUCUGUGGCUCAACCAUAGAAUUGCCGUUGAAACUGGGGGGCUUGAGUAUGUUUGAGGCAGGCGGAAUGCGUGGUGUAGCGGUGAAAUGCUUAGAUAUCACGCAGAACCCCGAUUGCGAAGGCAGCCUGCCAAGCCAUGACUGACGCUGAUGCACGAAAGCGUGGGGAUCAAACAGGAUUAGAUACCCUGGUAGUCCACGCAGUAAACGAUGAUCACUAGCUGUUUGCGAUACAGUGUAA
rnacentral:rRNA from 1 species